rnacentral:rRNA from 1 species
UUAGUGGCGGACGGGUGAGUAACGCGUGGGCAACCUGCCUCAUACUGGGGGAUAACAGUUGGAAACGACUGUUAAUACCGCAUAAGCGCACAGAGUCGCAUGACUCAGUGUGAAAAACUCCGGUGGUAUGAGAUGGGCCCGCGUCAGAUUAGCCAGUUGGCGGGGUAACGGCCCACCAAAGCGACGAUCUGUAGCCGGACUGAGAGGUCGGACGGCCACAUUGGGACUGAGACACGGCCCAAACUCCUACGGGAGGCAGCAGUGGGGGAUAUUGCACAAUGGAGGAAACUCUGAUGCAGCGACGCCGCGUGAGUGAAGAAGUAUUUCGGUAUGUAAAGCUCUAUCAGCAGGGAAGAAAGGCUCGCAAGAGAGAUGACGGUACCUGACUAAGAAGCCCCGGCUAACUACGUGCCAGCAGCUGC